UUGUCUACUUAAAAAUCGUAUUCAUUUCCCUUUCCAUUCCUUUAGGAACAUAGUGAGAAGAAGCAACGGGUCAGGUUCCAGCUUGAGAUCUCUAGCAAUCCAGAGGAGCAACGCAGCAGCAUACUGCAUUUGCAGGAGGCUGUGCGGCAGCAUGUGGCCCAAAUACGACAGCUGGAGAAGCAGAUGUAUUCUAUCAUGAAGUCUUUGCAGGAUGACAGCAAGAAUGAGAAUCUGCUUGACCUGAACCAGAAGCUUCAGUUGCAGCUAAACCAGGAGAAGGCCAGCCUGCAGCUGGAAAGUGAAGAACUGAAUAUCCUCAUCAGGUGUUUUAAGGAUUUCCAACUGCAGCGGGCUAACAAGAUGGAGCUGCGAAAGCAGCAAGAAGAUGUGAGCGUGGUCCGUCGCACUGAGUUUUACUUUGCUCAGGCACGGUGGCGCCUGACAGAGGAAGAUGGACAGCUGGGAAUUGCUGAAUUAGAACUGCAGAGGUUCCUCUACAGCAAGGUAUCUGGGGUAUAUGGUCACACAAAGGCAGCUGUAUUGAGAGACAUUGACCUAGCUUAGGAGUCUAACUCAU
rnacentral:sRNA from 1 species